GUCUCAGGCCGUAUCAGCCUGAAGGCGCCCGAUCUCGUCUGAUCUCGGAAGCUGAGCAGGGUCGGGCCUGGUUAGUAUCUUGGAUGGGAGACCACCUGGGAAUCCCGGGUGCUCGAGGCU
ensembl:rRNA 5S_rRNA 5S ribosomal RNA